AAUAGAUACCCAGGUAGUCCGCGCCGUAAACGAUGAGUGCUAAGUGUUAGGGGGUUUCCGCCCCUUAGUGCUGCAGCUAACGCAUUAAGCACUCCGCCUGGGGAGUACGGUCGCAAGACUGAAACUCAAAGGAAUUGACGGGGGCCCGCACAAGCGGUGGAGCAUGUGGUUUAAUUCGAAGCAACGCGAAGAACCUUACCAGGUCUUGACAUCCCACUGACCGCUAUGGAGACAUAGUUUUCCCUUCGGGGACAGUGGUGACAGGUGGUGCAUGGUUGUCGUCAGCUCGUGUCGUGAGAUGUUGGGUUAAGUCCCGCAACGAGCGCAACCCUUGAUCUUAGUUGCCAUCAUUUAGUUGGGCACUCUAAGGUGACUGCCGGUGACAAACCGGAGGAAGGUGGGGAUGACGUCAAAUCAUCAUGCCCCUUAUGACCUGGGCUACACACGUGCUACAAUGGACGGUACAAACGGUUGCCAACCCGCGAGGGGAGCUAAUCCGAUAAAACCGUUCUCAGUUCGGAUUGUAGGCUGCAACUCGCCUAC
rnacentral:rRNA from 1 species